rnacentral:rRNA from 1 species
AUUGAACGCUGGCGGCAGGCCUAACACAUGCAAGUCGAGCGGAUGAAGGGAGCUUGCUCCUGGAUUCAGCGGCGGACGGGUGAGUAAUGCCUAGGAAUCUGCCUGGUAGUGGGGGAUAACGUCCGGAGACGGGCGCUAAUACCGCAUACGUCCUGAGGGAGAAAGUGGGGGAUCUUCGGACCUCACGCUAUCAGAUGAGCCUAGGUCGGAUUAGCUAGUUGGUGGGGUAAAGGCCUACCAAGGCGACGAUCCGUAACUGGUCUGAGAGGAUGAUCAGUCACACUGGAACUGAGACACGGUCCAGACUCCUACGGGAGGCAGCAGUGGGGAAUAUUGGACAAUGGGCGAAAGCCUGAUCCAGCCAUGCCGCGUGUGUGAAGAAGGUCUUCGGAUUGUAAAGCACUUUAAGUUGGGAGGAAGGGCAGUAAGUUAAUACCUUGCUGUUCUGACGUUACCAACAGAAUAAGCACCGGCUAACUUCGUG